rnacentral:tmRNA from 1 species
GGGGCUGACCUGGUUUCGACGUGGGUUCGGAAUCAAGUGGAGCAUGCCGAGCACUCCAGUACGCUCGCAAAUCUGUCUGGAAAACAAUCAAGCGCCAACGAUUCUUCGUACGCUCUCGCCGCUUAAAAACCGGCGUUCCGCUCACCGGAUGGCCAAUGGUCCGGGUUGAAGGCCGCAAGGCCUGAGACAGAGCGGUCAUACACAUUGGCUGGUUCGGUGCUGGGUCACUCGGCAUCGAACAAGACUAAGUGACUGGUGGUCCCCGUAGCGUGCUGCUGCGCGACGGGGAUUGCGAGACUCAAAUCAGUCAGCUACGCAUGUAGAACUGCUUGGUAAAGGCUGACGGACGGGGGUUCAAUUCCCCCCAGCUCCACCA